UCCGUAGGUGAACCUGCGGAAGGAUCAUUAAUGAAUUCACUCUUGAAGCUGUUGCUGGUCUCUCGGGACAUGUGCACGCUUCAUAGGUACAUUCAACCACCUGUGCACUUUUGAUAGAUUCGCAGAGUCGCCUACCCCCCGUCAGGUCAGUCGAUUGACUUUGAUAGGUCCUGGCUUGACUUUGUGGGUCUAUUAUCUUACACACCCUGAUUGCAUGUCUAUGAAUGUUAUUAUUGGGCCGCGUGCCUAUAAAAUCUAAUACAACUUUCAACAACGGAUCUCUUGGCUCUCGCAUCGAUGAAGAACGCAGCGAAAUGCGAUAAGUAAUGUGAAUUGCAGAAUUCAGUGAAUCAUCGAAUCUUUGAACGCACCUUGCGCCCCUUGGUAUUCCGAGGGGCAUGCCUGUUUGAGUGUCAUUAAAUCCUCAAAUCUAUAUAGCUUUUAUUGUGAUAUAGAUUUGGAUUGUUGGGGGUUGCCGGCUUUAUCACUGAGUCAGCUCCUCUGAAAUGCAUUAGCGGGACUUUAUUGCCUCUGCGCACAGUGUGAUAAUUAUCUACGCUGACUGUCAUGCAAUGACCCUACAAGUCCAGCUCUCUAAUCGCCUUUCGAGACAAUGACUUGACAAUUUGGCCUCAAAUCAGGUAGGACUACCCGCUGAACUUAAGCAUAUCAAUAAGCGGAGGA
rnacentral:rRNA from 1 species